UACCUGUGCGGCCAGGGGAUCCGACGAGCUGUGUGCGGCGCGACCAACGGGGACGGACGCAGCGAGCUCAAUGAAACGGGCGCGGGUGCUCGGUCCGGUCCCGUUCCCCUCGCAUCCGCGGUGGUGUUCGUCUCCUCGAUCUGCAUCGCCAGUAGCUCAGGUACGUCGCCCCCCUUCUUGAUCCCGCCCCUCUCCUCCUCCUCUUCUUCCUUUAGAUCAUGGUUUGAUGUGGUUCCUCUUUCCUGAUGAGCCGAGGCGCCGUGACCCGGCCUCACAGCCACGGCAAGGAGCGACGACUCCCCAACUCUGCGGCAUGGCGUGCUUUGCCAGUUCGUCACCAAGUCCCCAACGCUGUCAUCGGUCGGACCUACGACGGUGCUAAGAUGAGUCUUCCUCUCUAAAAGCUUCUGUUUAAUCUCUAAAGGAUCUAUUCUUCUAACCAGGAAACAAUUUAAGUAGCAAGUUCAUUUCUCGUUGGUUAGUUGUAUCGUUGUCUCCCAACAUUGACACUAAUUGACAGCCAACCAUGACCAUCAAUUGUAUUGGCUAUGAUCUUUCUAUAAGAUGGCACUAUCUCCACUGGUGUUUUUUUUCCAGAAUUUGAUGGUAUGCUUGACCAAACAUGAUCCUAAUAUAAUAACUGUUACCCUUUUACAGAAGAGGAAGAUCUAGAAAUUUGCAUACCUAGAGGAACUCGCCUUCUUGAUGCCCCUUGCUUACAGAAGGUCGACAUCGACUGAGUACGAGCGGCCGUGGAACUGCUGCAGCCCAUCUGUGACAGAGCAGACUCCUGCGAAUUUGCCCAGCUAGGUACAUCCUCUACAUGGUAGCAACUUGAAGAAAAUUCUUCCUUUUUGCUUCCAUGACCUGAUAUCCUCCUCGCUGAUGUAUCGAGGAGCCGUGACCCGGCCUCACAGGAAGGGCCAGGGCGAAGACGUAUCCCCGAUGGCCAAGACACGGCCACGGUGGUGAUUUUUGAUGGUGAGACAGAGCAGACUCGAGCGACUUUGCCCAGCCAGGAGCACAUAAAAGAUAAUCAGCGUUUAUUCGCUAGCUGGAAUUAAAGGCAACGGCGAGAGAGCAAGAUCAAGGACAACUUCAAAAUUUAACAAUAUAUGCAAGGUACGUGCCGUAUGACCGUCAUAUGUUUAUUGACUAUUCUCUAGCUGGAAUGUGAUUAUUUCGGACGAAGAAAACCUCGUAUAGUAUAACAGUGCAUGUAUGGAUGGAGUUAUACUAUACGAGGUAGUAUAUGGUGCCUGUAUGACCGUCAUAUGUUUGUUGACUAUUCUCUAGCUGAUUAUUUCCGAUGAAGAAAACCUCGUAUAGGAUGGAGUUAUACUAUACGAGGUAGUAUAUGAUGCGAGGCACGGAAUGUCUGAAAACAUCACCUGCCGGACUUUGAGUACGUUGUGAACCUGCCAUGGUCCAACACAAAAGUACUUAGGUUCACCUGGAGCAAACCUGGUCCAAACUGUCUGGUCUACAACCAUAAAAUUUAGAUAGAAGGAAAGAUAGAUAUACAACCAACAUAGCUAGUGGAUGCCACCAUCAAUCACUCUUUAAAAUUUAAAAAUAUUUCAGAAAAUGUCAUCUGAUCAGCACGGGCAUUCAAAAAGAUUAUUACCUUCAAAAUGCCUCCGGUUCACCGGGAGCAACAAACCUGCUCCUGACCGCACAUGUAUUAUAGUACAAAAUAUACAUACAAGCCAAAUUAUAUAGAUAGAACCAAAACAAGCAGACAACGUUGAAGCGAAUACGAAGCUAGAGGGUGCCAUCGAAGCAUUUAUUCCCUACAUAUAUAUAAUCCAAUACAUUAUUCAUAUUGCCAAAAGGAUAAAUCUGAUAUUUGAUCCCUAACAAAGCUCUAUUGGCUUAUUAUAUCUGCGACAUUUCAAUAUGCAUCAGUCCAUAGUCAUUCGUCCAAAAACCUCAAGGCCGCUGUAAUUUCAGCUGGGAUGUUUCCAGCUGCUUCAUUGCCUUUGAUCGUCAGCAUCUGGACCAGCAAGUUCUUUCUGAGCUGUAUUGGAUCCUAGAAAACAUAAAAAAAUGAAUUGUUAUAUAUAUAUAUAUAUGUAUGGAAUAAAUUGUUGAAGAAUGAAUUGCACAACAAACCUAUGUGAGUGGAAGAACAUAAAUUUAUAUUCAACAAUGAUAUGGAAGAGAGAAACUUGUUAUAUAUGCACCUACCGAAGUCCUGGAAAUGUUAUGCCCGAGAGUAUCAUCUUGGUGAGCCAUCUCCUGUAGGAGUUUGAAUCCAGAGUCCAGGCUAUGACAAAAAAAACUCCAUAUGUUAGAACCAAUACCAGUGAGGCUGUAUUGUGCAUGACCAAUUAAAACUAUUACCGCGGGGCUGUAAUAUAGGUAUGAUCUUGUGGCCAAUACACGAGUUGGGGAUUCAAACUAGGCCUCUCCUGUUGCAAUACACUGCCAAAUUCUUUCAGAACUAUCAGGGCUUCCUUCUUAAGUUCCUUGUCAUGAAAGUCCUCUGAGCCUAGGAAUGACUCGUUAGAAUGAUCAAUCAGGAGAGUCCUCCUAUUUUCAAUAUUAACUGCAAGGAGGCCGUAGGAGGAAUCCACCAAAUACAACGGCAAUAGGUACUGCAAUAGGUAUACAAAGUUAAUGGUGAACAGAUAGUAUACACACCAACUUUUAAGAAGGAAAAUCCUUACAAUGGACGGGGUCAUGAGCACGUUGUAUUUCGGCAAAGGCCGUACAAUGACAUUGUUAAUCAACAAGUUGGUGCGUUCAGCUUGGCAUAAGCCAGUCUGACUCAGCACCCGUGCUAGGCCAUGGAAUUGCAAAUCAAACAUAUGCGUGGAGCCAACGAAGUCUGUUCCUGCGUUCCUUUGUAUCGCGUCGCUACUAAGCUUACGCACUGCAAGAUCGAAGCAGCUCGGAUUGACCCAUGUAUCACCUCGCAUGGUGUCUUGGAUAGUCCGUAGACUUAACUCGAUCAUGAAUGGACGAGGGCUCCUUAUCCAUAUUGUGCUGCAAACAAACCGGCAUGAUAAAAUCAGGGUAUCAUAAAAAUAUUGUACUUCAAUGUGUGGGCAAACAAUAGUAUAUUUUUUUCAAAACUAUAGAAAGGUCUGAAAUGUAUGUACCUAAAAAUUGGAGUUGUAGUGUCAUUUGAGGACAUAAGUACUAUUUCGUAAGAUAACCAAAACUAUUAUGAUAUGUUCGGUUGCAACUUGUUCCUAUUACAGUUAUGAUAAAAUCUAUAGAUGGUACAUGUAUCAUGCACCAGGACCCGUUGCAAUAUACUACAGUUCAUAGAAAAUUUGUAGUUUAAAAUAACGUGCUGUGGAUGGUACUAACAUGGCGUAAUGUAAAAGGAUAAUAUUAGCGCAUGACCAGAUUUUUGCAACCACUACGUUAGAUCUUAAGAACCUUAUGGACUUAGAAAGGAUCGCAUGAUCCUAACCAGUGCAUGCAUGCAACAACUUAUGAACGUGACCAACUCAUCGACGUGGAU